rnacentral:rRNA from 1 species
AUACGUAGGGGGCGAGCGUUGUCCGGAAUGAUUGGGCGUAAAGGGCGCGUAGGCGGCCCGGUAAGUCUGGAGUGAAAGUCCUGCUUUUAAGGUGGGAAUUGCUUUGGAUACUGUCGGGCUUGAGUGCAGGAGAGGUAAGUGGAAUUCCCAGUGUAGCGGUGAAAUGCGUAGAGAUUGGGAGGAACACCAGUGGCGAAGGCGACUUACUGGACUGUAACUGACGCUGAGGCGCGAAAGUGUGGGGAGCAAACAGGAUUAGAUACCCUGGUAGUCCACACUGUAAACGAUGAAUGCUAGGUGUAGGGGGUAUCGACCCCUUCUGUGCCGCAGUUAACACAAUAAGCAUUCCGCCUGGGGAGUACGGCCGCAAGGUUGAAACUCAAAGGAAUUGGCGG